ACGCCUACGGGGGGCAGCAGUCGGGAAUAUUGCGCAAUGGAGGAAACUCUGACGCAGUGACGCCGCGUAUAGGAAGAAGGUUUUCGGAUUGUAAACUAUUGUCGUUAGGGAAGAUACAAGACAGUACCCAAGGAGGAAGCUCCGGCUAACUACGUGCCAGCAGCCGCGGUAAUACGUAGGGAGCAAGCGUUGUCCGGAAUUACUGGGUGUAAAGGGAGCGUAGGCGGGAUAGUAAGUUGAUUGUUAAAACUAUCGGCUCAACUGAUAGAUGCGAUCAAAACUGCAAUUCUUGAGUGAAGUAGAGG
rnacentral:rRNA from 1 species